UGCAGUCGAACGGAAGUUAGAGCUUCGGUUUUAACUUUAGUGGCGAACGGGUGAGUAACGCGUGAGGAACCUGCCUUUCAGUGGGGGACAACAGUUGGAAACGACUGCUAAUACCGCAUGACACUUUUGGGAGACAUCUCCUAAAAGUCAAAGCUUUAUGUGCUGAAAGAUGGCCUCGCGUCUGAUUAGCUAGUUGGUGAGGUAACGGCUCACCAAGGCGACGAUCAGUAGCCGGUCUGAGAGGAUGAACGGCCACAUUGGGACUGAGAUACGGCCCAGACUCCUACGGGAGGCAGCAGUGGGGAAUAUUGGGCAAUGGGGGAAACCCUGACCCAGCAACGCCGCGUGAAGGAAGAAGGCCUUCGGGUUGUAAACUUCUUUUACCAGGGACGAAGGACGUGACGGUACCUGGAGAAAAAGCAACGGCUAACUACGUGCCAGCAGCCGCGGUAAUACGUAGGUUGCAAGCGUUGUCCGGAUUUACUGGGUGUAAAGGGCGUGUAGGCGGAGAUGCAAGUUGGGAGUGAAAUCCAUGGGCUCAACCCAUGAACUGCUCUCAAAACUGUAUCCCUUGAGUAUCGGAGAGGCAAGCGGAAUUCCUAGUGUAGCGGUGAAAUGCGUAGAUAUUAGGAGGAACACCAGUGGCGAAGGCGGCUUGCUGGACGACAACUGACGCUGAGGCGCGAAAGCGUGGGGAGCAAACAGGAUUAGAUACCCUGGUAGUCCACGCUGUAAACGAUGAAUACUAGGUGUGGGAGGACUGACCCCUUCCGUGCCGCAGUUAACACAAUAAGUAUUCCACCUGGGGAGUACGACCGCAAGGUUGAAAC
rnacentral:rRNA from 1 species